rnacentral:misc_RNA from 1 species
AUGAAUUAAGUGUUGAGAAGGGGUUGUAGCUGGCCACUCUGUAGGCAUGUGCACACCUUGAUCACACAUAUUCUCAUCUUACACCUGUGCACAAUAUGUAGCUUUGGAAUGAUUACAGAGUUAUUAAUAAUAAUAGCACUGGAAAGUUCCUCUAGCUAUGAAUUUUAUAUAUAAUAUACACUUGUAAAAAACAAUGUAACAGAAUAUUAUAUGAAAGUAACUA